AAAAUUCCUAUAAGAAUUUGGGACAAAAUUCCUAUAGGAAUUUUUCCUAUAGGAAUUUUUCCUAUAGGAAUUCCUAUAGGAAUUUUGUCCCAAAUUCUUAUAGGAAUUUUUCCU